rnacentral:lncRNA from 1 species
GGAGAAAUCGCUUACACUUGUAUCUACUCUGAGUUCCAAGGAAAAAUGUGGUUACUAUAGCAACUGCCACAUUACACUUAUGCAGUCUUUGGAAUAGAUUAAAUUGCUGAAAACCUCAAGGUUUUGUUUGACUCUGUUGAGAACUGCAGCUAAAUGUACUGAAGUUACUUAAUCAAAGUCAUUGGUGCCUCUGGGUUUACACUGAAAAUGAUGCAAGAAGAGUCUAUCAAUAUGGAAAUCCUGAAUCAUCCUCUGCAACACAUCACUGCAUUUGCACAAGGACGCUGGCUGGACCCAACAGGCUGGUGGGCUGAAACACUUUUGGCUGCAGAGAAGGGAUUAAACUUGGACUCCAUUAAGUGACUGUAGCUGGAAGAUAUGACUUUGGGCUGAAUGGCUUUAAGUAGUUUACAGGAGACCUUGUGGUAGUGAUAAACCUUGUGUAGUCAUUUCUAUUCUAAGGUUUAAAACUGGAGGCAUGUUAAACAGAUGCCAAGAAGAAGAGAAAAUUAAUCUUUAGCUAUUGAUUAAAGUUUCUGCAGACCUGAAAAGAACUGUAAAAGUAAAUAAAUGUUUUUUAUUAAACCUUUGUCCUGUUAAA